rnacentral:rRNA from 1 species
GACGAACGCUGGCGGCGUGCUUAACACAUGCAAGUCGAACGGAAAGGCCCUGCUUUUGUGGGGUGCUCGAGUGGCGAACGGGUGAGUAACACGUGAGUAACCUGCCCUUGACUUUGGGAUAACUUCAGGAAACUGGGGCUAAUACCGGAUAGGAGCUCCUGCUGCAUGGUGGGGGUUGGAAAGUUUCGGCGGUUGGGGAUGGACUCGCGGCUUAUCAGCUUGUUGGUGGGGUAGUGGCUUACCAAGGCUUUGACGGGUAGCCGGCCUGAGAGGGUGACCGGCCACAUUGGGACAGAGAUACGGCCCAGACUCCUACGGGAGGCAGCAGUGGGGAAUAUUGCACAAUGGGCGGAAGCCUGAUGCAGCAACGCCGCGUGCGGGAUGACGGCCUUCGGGUUGUAAACCGCUUUAGCCUGUGACGAAGCGUGAGUGACGGUAAUGGGUAAAGAAGCACCGGCUAACUACGUG